UGUCCACUCGCACCCUCAGUGCUCGCCUCGCGGCGUGUGUUGGAGGCGCCGGCUCGGAGCAGCGCGCUCGCACAUGGCAGGUCGCGGGGCGCCCGGGGCUCGAGCCGGCCGGUUCGCGGCGGCAGCAGCGCUGGGGGCACAGCCGGCUCCGGUGCUGCUCGCUGGUGGGAACUUGUCACGCGGAGGGGGAGAGAGAGACAGAAAGGGACAGCGAGAUCGCGUGAGAUAGACCUUGCUCCCUGCAAUACAAGAGGAGUUCCUGCCUUCUUUGAAAGAGUAGCUCUACAUCUGUCAUCCCAUUCACUAGUGUGGCCCAAAAUCAGUGAGACUACAGCUGUCCUGUUUCUUUCAGAUACUUCUGGGAUAGAGAGGUUUGGAAUUAGACCUCAACACCUGAGUGCUGAUGAGAAAGUUGUCACUAACAUUAUCUCAUUCCACGUUGUGCUGACUGGACACAUUUGAAGACUCAUUUUCAGGAUUCAUCAAGUUAUGAGACACAAGAGGUAAUGCCAUAAUUCUUGAAGAUUUGACCAACAUCACAGCUUUGAUAGACAGCCUCUUUAGGAACUUAUCCUAUCACUACAGGAAUGCUUGCAAAUGGACAACCUUACAAUAUGCUCCAGGAACUUCCCAGUUAUCAAGAACCCCUGCUUCAUUCAGUGUAUGAAACAACUGUCCUCACUGUGAAGUAAAGGAGACUUAUCUGUAGGACUCUUGUUUGUUUGUGAGAAAAGGAGCCAUGUAGUAUAUAAGCCCUAGCCGUGGACUAGGACCCAUCAUGCUCACCACUGAUCAAGCAGAAAACAAAGAGACAAUCCUUGCCUUGAAGAAUUCAUAAUGUACAACAAGAAACAACAUAUAGAUACAGAAAGACAGAGGAGAACAAGGAAACAAUGGUCUACUAUCUCUCCAGUUGCAAUUCAUGAGAAAUAUUUCCAUUCCUCAGAGGUGACCUAUUUCGUAAACCAUCUGUGGCUCUACUAAUCUGCUAGGACAGUGGCGAUACCAGGUGAGGGAAGGUCUAAAAUUACAGAUAUGGGAGUGGAAACAUAGAAACUUCUCUUAUGCAGAUUGCUGAGGAAAGGCAUUGAACUCAUGUCUUCAGUUUGUCUUGGGCAAGAUUCACAUGUGCCAAGAACUGUCAAACAACCAUAAUGGGCAAAACGAAUAGGCAAGAAGAUUACUACAAGGCAGAAAGCAAGCUUAAAAAAGAAAGGAACCCAAAGACCUAUGUAAAAAACACAGAAGGUGAGACCUACAGUGUUUACCCAUUCUUGACAAUCCCUUGACCUCUAAGUAUUGCAGAGAGGUUGGAGAAGCAGGCACCAUUGUCAAACAUCUGAUGCAUAAUGGACUAACAUAUGGACAUAUUGUCAGCCUUUGCUUUUAUUGUCUGGUUUCACACCAAAAGGAUACUUAGCACUGUCAAUAUAUUAAUUACUAUGUUAUUAAUUAAUAUUUUUUAAAGUCUGUUUUAGUGUACUUCUGCCUAAAGUAUGCGUAAAUCUUUAUAUAUUUCCAUAUUUUCAGCAUAUUUUAUGCAAAUAGUUGUUAAAAAUGAAAAUUCUAAUUUCAAAUGAAGAAAAUUCAUGACAUGCAUCUUGUGUUGCAGUUUAAUCACUGUAUACCCAGGAAAGUAUUGACAGUUGUCCCGUGGAAGCUAUUAAAGUUCCUGUCCAAGGUUAAAUGAAAUUGCAGUUUAUCAGAGCAGCAUUGAGAAAAUAAGGGAAUCUGUUCAUGGCUCUUGAUUAAUGCCAAGCGUGAUCAACACAAGGGGGUUCAUUAAGCUAUACAUCAUGUGGGUAAUUUAACAUGUCAUUGUGCCUGCUGUCUGCUUUAACUCUCUACACAACACAGUGUUCUAAAGUUGUCUCAGUUUACCACUUGGAGUUUUGCUUCCCAGAGUUCAUCAUAGUUGGGUUGACCUUUUAAUUUUUUGUCACUUCUUUUUCAAGUGUGCGUUUUGUUUGUUUUUAAAGAACACUAGUAAUCCCCAUAAUUUGUUAAUUUUGUGUGUCAUUUAAAUGGACACUAAGAAUUACAUUAGACACACAUAGGAUACAUGCUCUGUUGUCAAGAUCCUUCAUGUUCACACUGAUUUUUUUUAGGAGUUUCUGCAAUUUGAAAAGUCAAAUAUAGGGACUGAAAAAUUUUCUCCAAGGUAUCCAGAUCUUAGGGAGUUAGGUUGUGAUUCUGUGAGAUGAUCAAUUGUCUCCACUGCCACUGAAAAUAAUUGAGAAGUAUGAAUCAAGUCCUUAUUACUUGCCAAAUAAUAAAUGGGAUUUGCUGAAUUUGAUAUAGCUGAACAAAUUCUUCUUUGGUGUAACUUAACUCCACUUCCAUUCGUGAAAUUACCUUCGUGGAUGAUUCUUGGCCUGUGUAUGGGAAGAAUAUAAAAGGAAGUAUGAAGAAGGUAAUAGGAACAGUAGAAUUACCAAAUUGGUUCAGGCUAAUUGUCCGUUUAGAUCAGCAUCCUGCACAACAGUGACCAAGAUCCUCCAGAUGCUUCAGAUUAGAAGAACUGAAAGAAACCUCAUAUUGGACAGUUUUAUGAAAAAAAUUACCUUAGGUGGGAAGUUCCUUCCUAAAGCUUGAUUCCUACCCCAAACAUAAAGUUUUAUAUCCCUUAUGCAUUCUGUUUUAAGUAACUGAGAAUAAGCAUUCAUAUAACUGUAUAUGCCUUUUCUUUUACCUCUACUAAACUCUUCACUGUCAUGAGACAAAGUUCCAUGUGUUAAAUAUGCAUUGUAUUUUAACAUUCAUAUUGUAAAUUACCUGCAAAAGGAAGUGAAGGAAACAUAUUUAGCAGGUGUUUUAAAUUGAUGGGAGUUAUUUUUUUCCAUUCCUUUUUUCUCUACUGUGCCAUAAAAUCUGAAUUUAUAAUAUUGUUGGUUUGUGCCUUGUGCCAGAAUAUUCUUGAUGAUGUCCUAUGGUAUGGAUAGUGCUGAAAGAAACCUCUGCAUUAGGUUUAUUAAGGAGCCUGCCAUCUCAGGCAGAAGUGAAUUAUGAAAAGGAAGAUUUUCUGUGAUCUUCAGAAGCCACUGCACUAGCAUUAUUUCAUUACUUAACAUAGAUGGGUAGGAAAGAUUGACUUCAAGCACAAUCUGUUGUAAAUCUACAUUCCCAAAAGUUUAUGGGUAGACAAGGUGUAAAGUUAUUUUACACCCAUCGGUAGUAAGACAAACCUGUCGUGUGACCUUCAUUAAGGGUGCAGACAGAAGUGACAAUUUUCACCUGAUCUGGCCACAGAAAGUGGCUUGUAGCCAUGCCCAAACACACAUGAAUGGCUACAGACCAUUUAACGGCUGAUUGGGUGAAAAUCUGAACCUUCACUGCAAGAGGGGAGAAAUGAAGGUGUUUCAAAACGGAGCAUCUUCUGUAAGGCCUCCCAGCCUGUCACUGUUUUCAUAACGGAAGGGGAGAAAGGGAAUGGAGAGAGCUCGGUCAGCUUUGUUCAGCCCUCACUGGAGGGUGGGGCUGGCAUAUUGGAGCCAUCCAAUACACCACUUCGGGGGGGGCUCCAAUAUGCCCACCCCACCCUCCAGUGCUGGCUGUGGAACCCCUAGAACAAGCCCGCUUUCUUCCCUUUCCCCCUUCCAUUCUGAAAUAGAAACAGGUUGGGAGAGAGGAGCAGCUUUUGCUAAGAGAAACCAGCUGUAGGCUGCAGCCAGCAACUAGAUUUCCCUCCCCUCUGGAACCAACCAUGAACUUCUGUUUGGUCUGUGGGAUCAUUGUAACUCAGAACACUCCCUGCAAAGAGUUCUCAGUUAGAGCUGCACUUCUGUCAGAGCUAUUAAAGAUUCAGCUCUACAUUUUAAAAUCAGGCUGAGGUAAAAGAGCCUUACCUCUGAGGUUAAAGUAAUCUCCAGAGAAGUGAGUUCAAAGCUUGCUCUGGACUCCAGUGGAAGGCUGUGCUAGUCAAUCCACUGUAAAUGGGUAGCUAUUCAUUCAGGUGAGAGGUAGUGAUCUAUUACCUUUGUAUGCCAUUGGAUACAGGAAACAAUAGCCUGAUACUAGUACCUUCUGAAAUGUGACUAGAUAACAAGAUUAUGUAAUGAAAUGGCAAUUUAUUAUUUCCAGGUUAAUUCUUCUUAUUUACAAGUAAAACCUCUUUUUUUCUGAUGUCAAUCCUGUGAACUCAGCUAUGAGUCUAAAAAUCAGGAUCAGUUCUUCGUUUCUCCACCAUCAUUUGUAGUCUAGGUCUGUGGGAUAAAUUUCAACCUAUUCUGAAGUCUCUCAGCAACUAAGGGCUGAAUCCAGUAAAAGACACAGGUGCCCAAGGCAGGAAAUGGGUACAUUUAAAAUAUCUACAUCCAAAAUUACUAUCCAAGAAAUUUUGCUUAGCUGCUGCCUAAGCCUAGAAGUUUUGAAUGAGUUUAGGCACCUGUCUUUUGGACUGUGAAGUUUCUUAAGUGCUUAGUAUUCUGCUUCUAUGAACUCUGUUAAUUGUCCCAAUCUGAUCUGCUUAACUCCUGUCUCCUGCUUAAGCUCCAGAAAGGGACAUUUACUUUCUGAACUUCUCGGCUGAAAUCUCCUAUGGGGCCUGAUUAGUAAGGGCUGUUUUAUACAUGGUAGCUUACUGUAAAAUUGUCUUGCCAGCAGGGACCAAAAUAAAGGACUGUGCCAAAAGCACCCUCCUCACAGAGCCAUGUUUGCUCUUGCUUGUUCUGUCUUUGGCCCUACAAGUCUUGUACUUUCUGCACAGUGACAUAGCCUCAAGAGGAUGGGUGGGAAUGCCUAUAGCUUGGUGACUAAAGGAAGUGGGAGAAUCCCUUUAGGUUGAUGAAGAAAUAAAAACCUGGUCUCCCACUUUUCUGGCUGUGAGCUCGAGGCAGUUAGGCUAUUGUGUGAAGCAGGGGUGGACAAAAUGGCAGAUCCAGCUGGCAGCUGGAUUCCAUUUCCCAGCAGCCCCUGCUCAUGUCACAGUGGCCGGUUUCCAUGGAGACCCCAGUAGCGGUGGCACCGUGACAUUGCAGGGCCAGGGUUUCCACUGCCAGGGCAUGCGGCUGGGUGGAGAGCUUGCUUCGCAGCCAGGGCUGGGACCUUGCAGCCCUGUCACUGUCACUGCUGCAAGAUCCCAGACCCGGGCCUGGAGCAGCUCUCCACCCAUCCAUGUGCCCUGCCAGCGCUGCUGGGGCCAGUCUCCAUAGAAACCCUGGCCCUGCGCUGUCAUGGUGCUGCCGCUACUGGGGUCUCCAUGGAAACCAGCUGCAGCCACGUGGGCAGGAGCUUCUGGGAAAUGGAGUCUGUCAGGGACCCAAUCUGGCUUGCGGGGCCAGGCUUUGCCCACCUCUGGUAUAUAGGUUACCAUUGUCACUACCAUUUUAAAGAAAAGUAUGAGUCCAGCUCACCUCUUGUAAAGAAUGGAUGUAGACAUCUGCAUGCAGGAGAAGGAUUCCAAGUGGACAGAUGUGCCUGUAGGUAGGAGCCUACAAUUCAGGUGAUCUAAUACCUUAACUCCUUUAUUGGAUUGAAUGCUAAGAGCACAGCAAAGAGUUUAUGGGUCCCAUCAAGGAUGGGAUUGAACAUGCCCCACCCACCUCUCCCCACUGACGUACUCCAGACCAAGAAGCUCACCAGUGCUCUGGGCUCUCAGGCCCAUUAGAAACAGGGGGCUCAAGAGCAGAGAGUGAGGACACUGUCAGACACAGGUAGGUGGGACAUAUUCAGUCCUCAGUCCUUACUAGGACCUGCCAUUGCAUCAGUAUAAACAAACCCAGAGCAUCUAUUAAGGGUAAAAAAUAACUGAAAGGAAUGAUGGUCCAGUGGAUUUGGAAGCCUGAAUCUGAUACCUUGUUUUGGUAUGGACUUGUUGCCCACCCUGAGGUGAGUCACUCAAGGCCAGAUUUUCAUGUAGGCACCUAAAGGUGUCCAUAUAGCACUUGGGUCCAAGUCCACAAAAGGAUUUAGUUGCAGCAUUUAGUUUUGAAUCAUUUUGCCACAGUAGAGGAAUCAGGAGCCCUGACUUCGAUGUCUAGUUCCCUGUGCAACACAUAGGAAGAACUGAGUGCCUUAGGAUGCAAUUCACAAAAGUAAAUAGCUGAACAAAGAGCCACUAGAGUUAGCCAACAGGGGAUCCAAACCCUCAUUCCUUUGGAGGGGGCCCUAACCACCAGGCCACAAACUAUUCUCAGUGGAGUAGUAGUUUCAGUCCUUCCUGGUGAAGCUGUUCCAUUUUGCAUUUAAUACCUGAAUAUUCAUUGGGCAAGAGAAAGAAAGAGAACAAGAAGCUGGAAUUAGUGUGGUUAGUGACUUCCACCAAGAAUUGCGCGAGUCUUACAUUCAACAGUCAUUAUGCAGGGUGGGGGGGGACAGUGUUGUAAGGCUAAAUGCUGUAAAGAUUUUGAGAAUAUUUCAAAGACAUUUAAAUACCUUUGUGUAUCAGACUUAUGUACUUGUUGAUGGAGAAGGCAGGGCAGGAAAUACUUAAAUACAGGACACCUUAAAUACUAACUGCUUCGGAAAAGCCUAAACUACCAUAGGUAACAAUCUACAUCAUCAGUUGCUGACACAAUAGCUUUUGUGUCUCUCAUUUUUAAGGUGUUACCCUGCCUUGCCCUACCUGACUUCAGACUAAUGUGACUACUUACCUCUCUAUAUACUUGUUGAUGAGGGCAAUAUAAUGACCUAGGAACAAGGCAUCUAGGUUUAGUCCAAUACUCAGUGGCAAGUUUAAAAUUUUAAACACACUGAGGUUUGAGUCCAUGCCGAUUUAACAAAAGCAUACACACAAAACUUAUUGGAAUGUCAGUACAGACAAAAUACUGCUAGUUCCUGUCUUAUCGACCACUGUCUUGCCCACAUCUGCUAAAAAAGUGUGUGUUUCUUUGUUCUUUCAACUCAGGGUAAUUUUCAGGCACAUGUACUACCUUCGGAUAAAGUUUUACACAUUAGUUUUACCAUGUGGUAAAUCCCAGGAGUGUGUACAGUGCUUACUAUGAGGCUCCAGUGUUUAAAGGUUAGGUUCAAAUCCUCUAGAAUACACAGAAAUAUCUAGCUCCCACUGGUUGCAGUGAGAUUGAAGUGACUACGUAAUUUAGAGGAUCUAGGCUGGGGGUGCAGAAUGUGUAGUCCCAGUCUGCAUGCAGCCUGCCAGAGUAAUAUCAAUGACUUUGGAAUUUGGCGAGUGGGCAACACUGUGCAUGCGUUCAGGUGGACCUCAAUAUCUCUGUGUAACAGACUGCCAAUGUGGCCUCACCAGAUUGGCUUGAGAUUCUUACCCUGGGCUAGAAACAGUGCUAGUGAACCCUGAGUGACCCCAAGGGUGGAGCAGGGGAGCCCUGCCCUGUGGAAAAGGAGAAGCCAGUCAAAAGAAGGAGUUUUCAAUCUCCUCAUUCGCAUGGAAGGGGGAUGGCCAGAGUAGCGGGCCAGCCACCCUGGGCCCUGGUUGUCUGGUUUGUAAGCCAGGGAGGGACUGCCGGAGGGAAUAAAAGCAGCAGCUGAACUGGCGUGUGGGGGGCUGCUGACAGUGACUCCAGGAAAUGAUGCAGGAGGCCUAAGAAGAGCUGGGGUGAGCUGACCCAGCAGAGGGAGCAGAGAGACCCCUCUGAAGAGCCUCGAAGGCCCUGGGAGAAGAAGGCAGUGGCAGUUGGCCAUGCCUCCAGCCCUGCAGCAGAGAGGGAGCAGUGGCCAGGGCUUAGGACAGAUAGCUGGUGCCCCAAGGCCCCAUCGCAGUGUGCUGGAUGUGCUGGGCAUCCCAGAGGCUAGGGGUGGCAGUCGGCCCCCCACUCAACUGCAGAGAAGAAGCAGCGGCCAGGAGCAUAGGUGGCAUCCUUAUCCACAGCAGGGAGCUGGUCUGGUGAGUUGAGGAAAACCCUUCCCUUCCCUGGGGAAGCAGGACAGCAGCAGGCAAGGCAUUGAGAUCCUGAGGAGCAGCAGGGCACCAGGACGAGGGUUCCUGGGACCUAGGUGCACAGGCCGGCACUCGGAGUGGGAUUGGCGAGCUGCGAGGUGUGUGGGGUGCCCAGCCAGUCAUCUGGAGCAGGAGUUUAGAGCAAUGACCCCUGGGAGCUGCCUGUGCUGCUGACCCUCUGCCACUGACUGCCUCAGAGGGGACUCAGUCCUGUCCCUUAUUCUGCAGCUGAAUGUCAUCGGAUGGAGUCCCUUAGCUUUGUGCUUGGGUCAUGCUGAUUGCUGCAGGAGCCUACUCUGUUGCUUGUUGCUUGCCUUUUUCAUUGCCACGGAGGGUCACCCUUCACCCUCUUCGGGGGGUUGGGGUUUGAUACAGUUUGAUUGCUGCAGACCAGAAGAGCUUAACCUGUUGCAGUCUGUCGUUUAUUGGGAAGCCUGUUGGAGUUGCUGGGAGUGACCACCUUGCUUCCUUGUGGUAGCAUCUCAGCAGUGGCUGAAUGCUGCCAGUUCCCCUACCUGUGGUUCUUGAGUCAAGGAUUGACUAAUGCAUUCUGGUUUGUUUUGUGAUUCUGGUUAUGCCAUUUACGUUCACUUGUAAAUAACCUUUCCUAUUAUUCUUGUUUUGUAAAUAAAGUGUAAAUAGUUAAAUCAGGUAAGUGUUAGACCUUCUUUGGACCAUGGGCUGUUCUGUGGGGAACAGGGGCUGGCUGGAAAGUAAAUUUGUGCUGGCUGGAAGCCCUGCCCCACUUUCACUACACCAUCCCUGAUAUUGGGCAGGGGUGGCAACUAUUGGGCCACUACCCGGGUUGCAUUUGGGGGCUCAUCCGGGAUUGGUGUGAGGGUUAACCCCAAGUUUUGGGGGUAUGUGGUCCCCAACAGAGCAGACCAUACCCAAGAAAAUUGAUUGGUCCACUCCAGAGGGAAGUGACCCCAGGGUGUUCCCACCAUGUCUAAUGAGGAACAACCUGGGUCUUCCUGAGGAGGGGGUGAGGUUGCCCCAGGGGAAAGCGGUCAGGCAGAGGGAGGACCUGGUACCUCUCAAACAACCUCUGAGUGGGUCUGCAUUUUGGAGAAAGUACUGCAAGAGAUGACUCAGGCCUGCUUUGAGAAGGCAGUUUGCAAAGGACUGAGGGUUUUUUCAGGGAGCAUUCCCAGGCCCACCGGUGAGGAUGACUUUGAAACUUGGCUAUCGCAUAUGCAGGAAACCCUUAUGACCUGGAAGUCCCGAGAUGAGGAGAAGCAAUGCUUUGCAGGCUUUGGAGGCUUUGCAGGAUGCCUUUGGGCAGCCCUCACGCAGCAGCUCUCUAGUUUAUGAGUUGUACAGCACCUUUCAGCAAAAGGGGGAAGCCCUGUCAACUUAUGUGGUAUGGUUGGAAGGGAUAAUACAGCAGGUGGUAGAAUUAGAGGGGUUUGGCUCUGAAGAAGCAAAUCAUGUCUGCUUGAGGCAAACACAGAUCAGGGCACAAUAUAGUUCUACUUUGAUCCAGGAACUAAAUCUGGUUGGGUAUAAAGAUAACCCGCCAGACUUUUGAUUUCUGAUUUGAAAGAUUAGAGAAGAGGAGGAGGUGCACCAAGUCAAGGAGGCUCUAUGGAACUCCAGUGGGACCAUGCCCAAAACGAGUGGGGUGGCUCAGGCUUUGGCUGCCUCCACUUAGGAGAAGGAAGGCCCUAGGGAUACCAAGGGUGACAAGGAAACCCCUCCUUUAGUAGCAGCUGUGAGGACAGUCCCUGCCCGACAAGGGCCCUGGACAGGGACUGGGACCCCCAUGGGUCACAAGAGGAAGGGUAGGCCCCAAGUAACAGGGUUUUGCUACCCAUGUGGGAAAAAGGGGCAUCUGGCCCAAGACUGUUCUAACCUUGAGAACCCUAAUCUUGUGUUCUAGCAGCUAAAGGAAACAGGGGGUUCAGCGGGAAACAGGGAAGCAGUGUGGCAAGGGGGGUGGUUACACUCUGGAUUCAGCCAGGCCCCCAGGAGGAAUGCCCCAGCGCCCCAUUGCCCAGAGGAUUAGUUGGGCCUUGGGCUGAGGUACCUGCCGUGGUGCCAUGAUAUUCUGGACAGUGGGUCACAGGUGGCCAUCUUGUUUAAAUCCUUCUAUGAAGAGCAUUUGAGGCACUUGCUUCUGCGUCCACUCAAGGGAUUGGGAUUGUAUGGGCCAAGUCAAAAUCCCUACCCGUAUCAGGGGUAUGUGCGGAUACAAAUAAAUUUCCCAGCUCAGGUUGUGGGCAUUGACCAUGAGAUAACCACUGUGGCAUUAGUGUGUCCCGAUACUGUUGGGGCAAAGGGGACUGCCCUCAUUGUGGGGAUGAAUUCCAGUCUGUUCCAGGUGCUGGGACAGUACUGCCAGUGGCUGGCAGGGCCCUAAUAUUGGAACACCUUGAAAAUGCAUGCGCUGUGUGCAUGGGCUUAUGAAAGGUGGGAGCAGGACUGUAGCGAUCCCUGCCCUGAAAUUCGUGGUGUCUUGCAGUACUCUGGGGUUAAGCCUCAAGCCUCUAACCAUUCCUGCAGGGCAGUACUGGGCCCUGCCUACUCGGUGUCAGUGGGAAAAAGAUUCCCAAGUUCUUCAGUGGGGUAUUAUCAAAUGGCAUGCCUGGAAAAAGGGUGCCCCAAAGCUACAUAUUCUGGAUGGCGUAGUGAACCUCCAUGGAGGGAACCAGGAGGCUUUAUCCAUAUUAGUUGUGAAUCCUUUGGCCUACGUACAAGUGGUCUACCCUGGACAGGCAGUGGCCAUGACUGGGGAGAUUGAGGGUGAGAUUAGGCCUCCCUUCUUGGCGGGGGUUGGUUGUAUCAAUCCGGAGGAUUCCCCUGUGCCACACUCAUAGAAUCAUAGAAUCAUAGAAGUAGGGUUGGAAGGGACCUUGUAGAUCUUCAAGUCCAACCCUGCCAGAACUGGACACAGUACUCCAGCUGUGGCCUGACCAGUGUCGCGUAGAGGGGGAGGAUCACCUCCUUGGCUCUACUUGAGAUGCACCUGUGGAUGCACGAUAGGGUCCAGUUAGCCCUGCCGACCAUGACCUCGCAUUGUCAGCCCAUGUUCAUCUUGGGAUCAAUGAUGACUCCAAGAUCCCUUUCUGCCUCCGUGCUCUCAUGAAGGGAAUUUCCCAUUUUAUAAGUGAGCUGCCGGUUACUACUGCCCAAGUGCAGCACCCUGCACUUGUCAGUAUUGAAACGCAUGGAAGGUUCAGUUACAGAAUCAGCUAAAGACGCGGGCCAAUGUAUUCUUCCUGAGUGACUGGAAUGCCGGUAAAGCCAAAGGGGUGGAACAUCAUAUUCACCUCAGUGACACCCAGCCUUUUAGAGAAAGGUCUUGAUGAAUCCCUCUAGCGGAGAUGGAGGGGGAGGUAAGGAAACACUUACAGGAAUUAAUGGACCACCAGAUUAUCACGGAGUCGUGCAGCCUGUAUGCAUCUCCUAUCAUGUUUUGUAUAUCAUGUUUAAUAGUUAAAUCAGGUAAGUGUUAGACCUUCUUUGGACCAUGGGCUGCUCUAAAUUGGUGCUGGCUGGAAACCCUGCCCCACUUUCACCACACCAUCCCUGAUAUUGGGCAGGGAUGGCAACUAUUGGGCUGCCACCUGGAUUACAUCUGUAAAUGGCCCUCAGCAGGGUUUGAGCUGUCAUUUUGCUGAUCUGUAACCCAGUUCCUUGUUCUAAUUCUCCAAAGCUAGAACACCAAAGCUGUGUUGGUAGUGAGACAUUUUUCAGAAAAAAUGUAAUGACAAAAUAGUGCAUUUACACUAAGUUAAAAUACAACACUUCCCUGCAUUAGUUUACCAAUAUUUUACUACCAUUGCCUUUCAGAAAAAAUUGGCACAUGCAUUUUCAACAGCUGCAAUUUUUCAUCCCUUUCUAACUGCCAUUGCUGGUACUAAUUAACUUACUGACAGUGCUGGUAGUAACUGUAACACGAAUACUAAUUUUUCUAACAUAGACCAGGCAAAAGAUAUUGUCCUCAUUUUUCUGUGUGUGAACAAGCUCUAAAAUAAAAGCAGUUCAGACACAAAUGAUUUACAAGGAGCAAAUUUACAAGUGCAAGUAACAUUGUUAAUUUUAUGUGCAAAAUAUCCUCUUUGUUCUAUUGGGAUCACUUUCUAUUUCCCUCCUAUUCUCUUGUUUGCUUUUUUUUCACUAGGAUUAUAUAAGUUGCUGUCCUAUUUAAUUAAGAAGUACAGAGCACAUUCCAGAACUUUCAAAGCAUGCAUUAAUUUUAUUUUAACUUCAGUUAUAUAUUUCUUCUGUAAAAAGUGAAUUUGUUUGUAACUAAAAAAAACCCCCCAACUUAUUUUAUUGUUUUAAACAUGAGAUUUGAACAUCUAUUUUAAUUAAAGCAAAGACUAAAUUAUAAUGGUAUCAAUGGAAUACAAAUGUUAUAGUAAGGAACAUGAACUGCUAAAUUUAAUGACAGCUAAGGCUGUGCUGCUUUUAUUAAGCUGGCCUUUAGUUACUGUUACCUUCCCUUCAUAUUGACAAAGGAAGCACUUUGCCUUAAAAUGUAGAAAAAGGUCAUUCACAUAUUUAUAGCCCUAUACUUGACUACUUUUUUAAGAUACUGCAUUGUCUUCUGCUGCCAUUAAUUACCAAGGGUUUAUUUACAAGACAAUAAUUAAUUAUACCUCUGGGAUGCUCAAGAGUCUAACAUAAAUCAAAGCAGACUUGAUAAGAAGCGAUGGAAGUCUCACAUAAUUAAGCAGGGCACUAGAGACCAAUUGUUUAUAGAAUGAUUUUGCUGGGGCUAAUUGACACUAAUUAUUUAAUCUGAUUUUCUUCUUCCCCAUGAUUCUUCUACCAAUUCACACAGUUCUUGGCUAAUAGCACAGACACAGUUGACUUUAUCAAGGUAUCCUCAGUGUAUUGAUACAAGUAUUUUCAACUCUUGUCUUCACUAGCUUUUAUUGUAUGAAUGUAGCGUGGGGGAUGGUAAGUUUUGGGUAAUAUAAUAUCUCAUUGUCUUCAUAAUAAACUAAAAAAGGUUUUUAAAAAAAUGCAUGUUAAAUUUUUAAAGACAUUCCAAGGUAAAUAUCACAUAUAUGGAUCAACUUAUAGUUCACUUUGUGAUCCACAUCUGACCAGAUGUGGAAACGUUUGGUGUAAAAGUUGCCUCUACCUAAGGUUAGUUACAUUUUAACUGAUAACUUAAGUUCUGUUUAUUAACAUUUUUUAAUACUUUAUUCUGUGAGCUCUCAUAAUUUGCAUUUUUUACAUAAAUUCUUUUGUUUCCAGAAA